GACAGAGGAGCCAAGCGUUGUCCGGAUUGACUGGGCGUAAAGCGCACGCAGGCGGAUGCGCGCGUGGGGUGUGAAAUCUGGCCGCUUAACGGCCAGGCGCCCAUCCCAUACGGCGCGUCUGGAGUGAUGCAGAGGUCGAUGGAAUUGCCGGUGUAGUGGUGAAAUGCGUAGAGAUCGGCAGGAACACCCAGGGGGAAACCAGUCG
rnacentral:rRNA from 1 species